rnacentral:lncRNA from 1 species
GAAUUUUGAUUUUUCUGGAGUAGCUAUAAAACAGGUCUUCAAUAACAAAAAUGCAAAUAUUAUUUUGGUAAGUGUUGAGUCCCAACAGGAAACAAAGGACACUCUAUCUAUUUAUAAAGACACCCUUGGUAAAGGUCUGUGUAGUAUGUUGGAGAUAUUAAUGAAUACAGCAAGAACCCUGGUCUAGCAGCAGUAGGGAUGCCCUCUAAUCCUAUCCCAGGAGAAUGAAAAGUGGAUAUUCUACUGGUGUAGAAAAGGAGAAAGAAUUGUGUAGGGCAAGUUGCCUAGGAGAACACAGUAAUCCUGAGACAACCUACCAGAACAUGGGACCUAAAUGAAUAAAUGCGUAAACUCACUUAUUCUUCUCUCCAAUCUUCUCCCAGUAUCCCCACUGGCUCAUCCAAGGAGCAUUCGUAUGUGUCAUUGGCUUGUUAAUAGAAUCUGGGAGAUCAACCUUUUGGGGCAGAGAGCAAAGUGGAAAAGGCUGAGAGUACAUCUGGAAGAGCAUAUGGCUGGUAUCUGGUUCAGGAAUUCAAUACAUCUAGCUUUCCAGUUCCUCUGUGGAAUACUUCAUCAUCUGGCAUAUGACCUCAGACCAUCUCCCAGACUUUUUCUGUAAAGAGCCACAGACGUCAUGAGUCCAGAAGGGCAGUCUUGGCUCUAAUGAUUCACUAGAACUACUCACAUGUUGUGCCCAAGAUUGCGAAUCCGAGAAACCACCAAGGAGCCGACACCGAUGCAAGCACACGAGGGUUUAUUAGCAAGCUCGAGCUUGGGUCCAAGUAUACCCGACACAGCAGAGCAGGGAUUUGGACCCCGAGGUGAGUUUCAGCUUAGUUUUAAGGGCUGGUCUAGGGGACCUCCAGAAGGGGUGGAGCAAUUUCUCCAAGUUCUGUUUACAUUCUGAUGUGGGGCUUUCAAGGGCAUUGAGCUCUGUUCUCAUUCUAAUAUGAGACUUUCUACCAUGGACGUUGGCUCUGUUGUCUUUCUGAUAUGGGAUUACCUGCCGAGGACAGGUAAUCUGCAGUUUUUCCCAUAAAGUUCAGCUCUUAUUCACAGGGGCCUGGGAUGGCUGUACUUGUGCUAAUGCUAAACUUUAGGUGGAAUGGCCUUAAUUUUUCUCAGCCUCCACACACACAACUCAGG